rnacentral:rRNA from 1 species
UACGAAGGGGGCUAGCGUUGUUCGGAAUUACUGGGCGUAAAGCGCACGCAGGCGGCUCGUUAAAUUAGAAGUGAAAGCCCUGGGCUCAACCCGGGAAUAGCUUUUGAAACUGGCGAGCUAGAAUUCGGGAGAGGGUAGUGGAAUUCCAAGUGUAGAGGUGAAAUUCGUAGAUAUUUGGAAGAACACCGGUGGCGAAGGCGGCUACCUGGCCCGAUAUUGACGCUCAUGUGCGAAAGCGUGGGGAGCAAACAGG